GACGAACGCUGGCGGCGUGCUUAACACAUGCAAGUCGAACGAGUGGCGAACGGGGGAGUAAUGUAUGGGGAUCUGCCUGCUGGCGGGGGAUAACUACUGGAAACGGUAGCUAAUACCGCAUACCAUCAGAUGAACACAUAUGGGAUUAGCUUGUAGGUGAGGUAACGGCUCACCUAGGCGACGAUCCCUAGCGGGUCGGAGAGGAGGAUCAGCCACACUGGGACGGAGACGCGGCCCAGACUCCUACGGGAGGCAGCAGUGGUGAAUAUUGCACAAUGUGCGAAAGCCUGAUUCAGCCAUGCCGCGUGUAUGAAGAAGGCCUUCGGGUUGUAAAGUACUGUCAGUCGGGAGGCGUUACCGGCAGAAGAAGCACCGGCUAACUCCGUGCCAGCAGCCGCGGUAAUAC
rnacentral:rRNA from 1 species